GUUGGGAACAGCCUCACAUGAUGACCCUUCUCUCUCUGAUGGCUGUGGUGGUGAUGAUCAUCAAACCAAAGCCUCUAAGAAGUUGACUGAAGAGGCUGUUCCUUG
ensembl:snoRNA